AAACCGGUUAAAGCGGCUGAUUGCCCGAGAAGGUUUUAUUUAAUUUGUUCCCGAAACUUCGGUUUACUACGGUAACCAGUUAAGAAUGAAGCACGUUGUUGAAAAUCAGAGCAUCACUCUUGAGGAUAACAAACGCAUCGGAAGCGAGUGCAGACAUCUGGAGGAGACUAUCCGAGUGAACCAUGCUUAAAGCGAUGCGUUGUCAAAGUCCGUGUACGCGGACGACCUUAAAAUAGUCAAAUUGAAAACUGAGUCGAUUAACAAGUGCGUGGUAUACAACACGUCCAUUAUGGAGUACAGAAAUGGACUUCCAGAUUUAGACGUUUUUAAGAUGGCUAUGAACUUCCUGCACAAAGAUACUGAUCUCAUCAUGCAGCAAAUUGUUGAUGAAAUGGAGAACUUCAGGAAAGAUCUAAAAAUGAAAUUGAAUGAAAUGGAAAUACGGACAGAGGAGCAAGAAGAAUUUUCUGCAGAGGCUGGUUCACAGCCUCUGAAGAGUACGGCAAGUAUGUGAAGGAGGUGGAAGACUUGAAGGAGAAAGUAAAGAAUGAGGAACAGAUGUUUAAAUGCAGUUUGAAGGGACUGGAAGAAGAUUGUACGGAUAUUGUUGCAAUGAUGCCUUCUGUUGAUGAGGAAGAAGAGAAAUCGAAGGACAGUAGAGAAAAAGUUCGGUUCUUGAAAGAUCAUACAUCGAAUGUCAAUGAACAGGCACAUUCGUUCUUUCAAGAAUAUGAUGCCAUUUGUGAAGACUUGAUACAGAAGUUGAAAGGUCAGCUUUU